CAAAAGCAUAAGUUGUUUGGUAGCUUUAAGCGUAACACGUGUGCUUAUAGUUAUGAUAAUGAUAGGGAUUGUUGGUGUGCAGAUCUUCUUUUUGAAGAAACAGAAUAGAUAAAGUUUGCCCUCUGGACAUUCUGAAGGAGGUUCCUUGUGCUUGCCAGAAGAACUGAUAUUUCUUGCACUGGAUAGAAACAUCUUUUUAACUCUCACCAAAAACUGGCAGGAAUGUACAAUGUUUGUUUUUCUUUUGCAUGAUUGUACAUUACCCCACAGCAGUCAUUGAAAUAAGCUCAAAUGUUUUUAAUGAA
rnacentral:sRNA from 1 species